UACGUAGGGUGCAAGCGUUAAUCGGAAUUACUGGGCGUAAAGCGUGCGCAGGCGGUUUUGUAAGUCUGUCGUGAAAUCCCCGGGCUCAACCUGGGAAUUGCGAUGGAGACUGCAAGGCUAGAAUCUGGCAGAGGGGGGUAGAAUUCCACGUGUAGCAGUGAAAUGCGUAGAGAGUGUGGAGGAACACCGAUGGCGAAGGCAGCCCCCUGGGUCAAGAUUGACGCUCAUGC
rnacentral:rRNA from 1 species